CCAUUUUUGUCCUUGAAAGUGUACAUAUCAAACGAAAAAUGGAGGCUAUCGAAUCAAAACCAUAUGAGCUACGGUUUUGUUCUAAGUGUAAAAUUGUUGUAGUUAUACACGACAAAGAUAGGACAGUCUGCUUUCACUGCAAAGAACUUUUGGGUCCUUUCGGGAAAAAGUAACUUUAUCCAAAAAAAAAUGUCACGAUUUCUAAUGUUUGUUUAUGGAAAUUUCAUCGAAAAUAAGGAAACAUGCCGAAAAACGGAAUUGAAUGCUACUUUUGUUGUCGUACAGAAUAAAUUAUGUGACUAAAUAAUUAAAAAAA